GGGAAACUCACCAGGUCAGGACACGGUAAGGAUUGACGGACUGAAGGCUCUUUCUCGAUUCCGUGGAAAGUGGUGCAUGGCCGUUUUUGGUUGGUGGAUCGAUCCGUCUGGUUAAUUCCGUUAACGAACGAGACCUCGGCACUCCGAAUAGCGCGGCGGACGUCGCGGCCUCCGGGCCGUCUUCCGCACGAGCUUCUUAGAGGGACCGUCCCCCGCCGGGGAAGGAGGUGCGAGGCAACGACAGGUCUGUGAUGCCCUUAGAUGUUCUGGGCCGCACGCGCAUUACACUGACGCGUCCAACGGGUGACUCCCGACCCGAAGGGGCCGGGGAAUCCGCAAGGCGCGUCGUGAUGGGGAUUGAACGUUGCAAUUGUUGUUCACGAACGAGGAAUUCCUAGUAGGCGCGGGUCAUCAACCCGCGCCGAUUACGUCCCUGCCCUUUGUACACACCG
rnacentral:rRNA from 1 species